GCGUACAGGGGGUGGCCGGCGUACGACAGCAGGCUCUGGGCCUGCUCCUGGAAGGCGUCGGACAGUUCGGGGCCGCCCGGCGUGCG
rnacentral:tRNA from 1 species